UACGUAGGAGGCGAGCGUUAUCCGGAUUUACUGGGCGUAAAGAGCGCGUAGGCGGCCCUUCAAGUCAGAUGUAAAAUCUCCCGGCUUAACUGGGAGGGAUCAUCUGAUACUGCUGGGCUAGAGUGCAGCAGAGGAAAGUGGAAUUCCCGGUGUAGUGGUGAAAUGCGUAGAUAUCGGGAGGAACACCAGUGGCGAAGGCGGCUUUCUGGGCUGUAACUGACACUGAGGCACGAAAGCGUGGGGAGCAAACAGG
rnacentral:rRNA from 1 species